GGACGAACGCUGGCGGCGUGCUUAACACAUGCAAGUCGAACGGAAAGGCCCUGCUUUUGUGGGGUGCUCGAGUGGCGAACGGGUGAGUAACACGUGAGUAACCUGCCCUUGACUUUGGGAUAACUUCAGGAAACUGGGGCUAAUACCGGAUAGGAGCUCCUGCUGCAUGGUGGGGGUUGGAAAGUUUCGGCGGUUGGGGAUGGACUCGCGGCUUAUCAGCUUGUUGGUGGGGGAGUGGCUUACCAAGGCUUUGACGGGUAGCCGGCAUGAGAGGGUGACCGGAGACAUGGGGAGUGAGAGAAGGGGGAGAGUCCGACGGGAGGAAGAAGUGGGGAAGAGGGCACAAGGGGGGGAAGCCGGAUGCAGAAAGGGCGCGUGAGGGAGGAAGGGGGGCGGGGUGGAAAAAGAUGGCGCCGGGGAAGAAGCGGGAGGGACGGGAAGGGGGAAAGAAGCACCGGCCAACGACGUG
rnacentral:rRNA from 1 species